GGCAACCGUUCUCCACAAAGUGGAGCUCUUCGCCUCGCGACUUGAGACACGGCAUAAACCAGAUGAGACAAACCAAAAAACAAGAUAAAUAGUUAAUUAAUCUGAACCCAAAACGUCACUCAGAGAAUGUUGAGGCCAUCAGGAGCUGGUGGUCCUGCUGUGUGGGUUUGCUGAGGAAAAUGAGCCAGGAGCCUUGUGGGAUGUUCAUCUUUCGGGAGAAAGUGUUUUCCAGCAUCUCCAAGAGUCUGUCGCCACUCUCCAUACGAAACUCAUCCUGUGAGAGACACAAAAGGAGUAGAAUGGAAAAACAGAGCAAUACAGGGAUGUAAAAAAAUUAUUUUUUCACAUCUCAUGCUGAAUACUUGCUCUCAGUGUGAGCACAUACUAAAUCAGUUUGUUUUAUUUUUUUGUUUUAAAUAAAUGCUUACAAAGACAUAAUCCUUAAAA